rnacentral:rRNA from 1 species
GACAGAGGGUGCAAACGUUGCUCGGAAUUACUGGGCGUAAAGCGCGUGUAGGCGGACCUGCAAGUCGGACGUGAAAGCCCUGGGCUCAACCCAGGAACUGCAUCCGAAACUGCGGGCCUGGAGUGGUGGAGAGGGAAGCAGAAUUCCUGGUGUAGAGGUGAAAUUCGUAGAUAUCAGGAGGAACACCAGUGGCGAAGGCGGCUUUCUGGACGGUAACUGACGCUGAGACGCGAAAGCGUGGGGAGCAAACAGGG